rnacentral:rRNA from 1 species
AUUGAACGCUGGCGGCAUGCUUUACACAUGCAAGUCGAGCGGCAGCGCGGGGGCAACCCUGGCGGCGAGCGGCGAACGGGUGAGUAAUACAUCGGAACGUGUCCCGUAGUGGGGGAUAGCCCGGCGAAAGCCGGAUUAAUACCGCAUAUGCUCUACGGAGGAAAGUGGGGGACUCGCAAGGGCCUCACGCUAUGGGAGCGGCCGAUGUCCGAUUAGCUUGGUUGGCGGGGAAUGGCCCACCAAGGCGACGAUCGGUAGCUGGUCUGAGAGGAUGAUCAGCCACACUGGGACUGAGACACGGCCCAGACUCCUACGGGAGGCAGCAGUGGGGAAUUUUGGACAAUGGGCGCAAGCCUGAUCCAGCAAUGCCGCGUGGAUGAAG